rnacentral:rRNA from 1 species
UACAGAGGUCCCAAGCGUUGUUCGGAUUCACUGGGCGUAAAGGGUGCGUAGGUGGCGGGGUAAGUCGGAUGUGAAAUCUCCGAGCUCAACUCGGAAAUGGCAUUGGAAACUGCUCUGCUCGAGGGUUGGAGGGGGGACUGGAAUACUUGGUGUAGCAGUGAAAUGCGUAGAUAUCAAGUGGAACACCAGUGGCGAAGGCGAGUCCCUGGACAACUCCUGACACUGAGGCACGAAAGCUAGGGGAGCAAACAGG